AUUUGCUUGUGCAUUGAGCUUAUCUGGUGGCACAACUGAUAAGCCAGAAGAAUUGGACCAAUACCCAAUUGUCCUAGGCCCUGUGCCAAUCACAUUGAUGACUUCAUAUGAAGGAUGAAUGAGGUUACCAUCAGGAGUGAACUUAACCUGGCCAGUUACACCAC